rnacentral:rRNA from 1 species
CGCCCCUUGCAAAAACAAUUGAGGAAUAAGGGGUCCUGCCUGCCCAGUGACUUAGUUAAACGGCCGCGGUAUCUUGACCGUGCAAAGGUAGCAUAAUCAUUUGCCUCUUAAAUAGAGGCUGGUAUGAAUGGCAAGACUGGAGUUAAGCUGUCUCUUUCUUAAAACUUGAAUUUUAUAUUCUUGUGAAGAAGCGGGAAUAAAUUCGCAGGACGAGAAGACCCUAUCGAGCUUUAAUGAAUUUAUUAAUAGCAUACAAGUUUAAGUUAUCUAAUAAAGCAAUUUUGUGCUUUAAAAAUUUAAUAGCUUAUACUUUGUUAAUUAGUACAAUAAUUUUGAUUGGGGCAAUCGCGGAGAAUAAUAAACCUCCGCUAAAAAUAUUAAAAAUUACAAUUUUUAAAUGAAGUGAUCCGCUUAAAUAGCGAGCAAAGGAAUAAGUUACCGUAGGGAUAACAGCGUAAUUUUUUUGGAGAGUUCAUAUUGAUAAAAAAGUUUGCGACCUCGAUGUUGGAUCAAGAUUUCCUGGAGAUGCAGCAGUUUCCAAGGGUUGGUCUGUUCGACCAUUAAAAUCUUACGUGAUCUGAGUC